rnacentral:rRNA from 1 species
GGACGGGGACGGGUGUGCGGACGAUUAGCUAGUUGGCGGGGCAACGGCCCACCAAGGCGACGAUCGUUAGCUGAUGUGAGAGCAUGGUCAGCCACACGGGCACUGAGACACGGGCCCGACUCCUACGGGAGGCAGCAGUAAGGAAUAUUGGUCAAUGGGCGCAGGCCUGAACCAGCCAUGCCGCGUGGAGGACGAAGGCCCUCCGGGUCGUAAACUCCUUUUACCCGGGACGAAAAAAGCCCUUUUGAGGGCACUUGACGGUACCGGGGGAAUAAGCACCGGCUAACUCCGUGCCAGCAGCCGCGGUAAUACGGAGGGUGCGAGCGUUAUCCGGAUUCACUGGGUUUAAAGGGUGCGCAGGCGGGCUUUUAAGUCAGCGGUGAAACCCGCGGGCUCAACCCGCGGACUGCCGAUGAUACUAGGGGCCUUGGAUGUCGCUGAGGGCAGCGGAAUGGGGCAUGUAGCGGUGAAAUGCAUAGAUAUGCCCCGGAACACCGAUUGCGGAGGCAGCUGCCUAAAGGACGAUCGACGCUGAGGCACGAAAGCGUGGGUAGCGAACAGGAUUAGAUACCCUGGUAGUCCACGCCCUAAACGAUGAUUACUCGACGUCCGCGGCAUACUGUGGGCGUCCAAGCGAAAGCAU